AUGAGCCUAACUCUAUCUAUUGGAAAUCACAAGCAAAGUUGGUUCACAAAAGACAAAAUCAAAGGAGGUCCAAAUCAGAAUUACGAACUCAGUAAGGUCCAGCAUUACAUUCACAGCAUAUCAUCCCAAAUCAGUUCACAAAUCCUUUCAGAGAAAAAACCAAUUUCGUUCAAGAAAAGCCCUAAUCCUAGUUAUAUUUAA